CAGAACUCGAGAUGUCCUAAAAUGCUAGCAAUCUAUUAUUUUGGUAUUAAAAAAAACAUAAAACUCAUAGAUAUACAGUUUCGUCUAUGAUUUCAUUUGUAGCCAAAGGAAAACAGAAAUGCAUCAGGACAUCGACAUCGAAAAUAUCGUCUGACGAAAUGUGCCAUGUGUUUUAUGCUUUACAUAGGUAGUAGCACAAAAUAGGUGUAAGAUAUUAAACAAUAAAAAAACAAAAAUAACUGUGCAACUAUUUUAUCCUUUUUCACACAAUACAAAAUAUCCAGUUUUGAGACAUUGUUGUUAGUAGAAAAAGAAAUACGUAUAAAAAUUAACCUCAGAUUCCAUAAUUUAGUUUGCUUUUUUUUUUGGCACAACCAUUUAAAACCAACUGAAUACAAAAAUAAAUAAUCAGUGAUAGAAAAAAAUGUAAAAUUUUAUGAUCCAUAUGUACAUCAAAACGAGACAUUUCGACAUUUUUUUCCGCCUUCUUUCGUUCGUUAUCUUAUAGCUAAUUAAAUCUAAUACAAAGGAACAGGAAAACGCGCCGGCUUAACAGGCGGUGAUUGCGGCGGAGUUUGGACAUCUACGGUGAGUUUUUCAGGUCGAGGUGGUGCACACGGACACGGCAAUGCUAUGAAUUUGGGUGUAUUAUCUCCUGGCAUUAACACCGGUACGCUCAGAUUCUGCGGUUUCUUCAUUUCCUGUUCAUAGUAACCAUAUUUCUUAGUUACUCAUUCCAAAAAAAAAUCCCUUAUUUUUACUUCAAAUUUUAGUAACACAAAUGUUAUCUCCUAUUGUUUUCCAUAAAAUUUGCUUUCGUGACAUAUUUACAGAGAGAUAAAAAAACCUUAUUUAGCGACUCAAAUUCUUAAAAUGUUUAGAUUCAGCAUCUCAAAUUUCUAUAGAUAAAAUUAUAUUUUUUGAUAGUUGGAAACUAUUUAUUUAUAAAAAAUACAAAUACUUUCUAAAACAAAAUUACAUAUAUUAAAUUUAAUGUUUUGGAUACUCGUUUAAUAGCUGUAGUUUAUAUGAGAAAUAGGAAAUGAACAAAGUCAUAUUUUGGUAAAGUUAUAAAUUUGAGAAGAGAGUUACCGGAAAAGGGGGUUUGGGUUUGUAAGGAUUAGACUCGAUGUCGGCGGAGGGACGACCAUUGGCCAAAGAGCGGCGGAGAGAACGAUGUUUGUCCCAAUGGUAACAACAAGAGAAU
rnacentral:lncRNA from 1 species